GUCUGAGGUGAAAGAGAACCAACAUGACUUGGAGUCGUGACCUAGCUGAUGUCCUCAUAGCGCCUGGAAUCCAAAACGUCUGGAGUCUUUGCACAUCUGGAAAAGCAUCACAAUCUGGAAAGAAUGAAUGCAGCAUUUCUCAGAGGAUGUACACUGUUACCACAAGAGGGAG